rnacentral:rRNA from 1 species
AACGAACGCUGGCGGCAUGCCUAACACAUGCAAGUCGAACGAUUGCCUUCGGGUGAUAGUGGCGCACGGGUGCGUAACGCGUCGGAAUCUGCCCUUAGGUUCGGAAUAACAGCUGGAAACGGCUGCUAAUACCGGAUGAUAUCGCGAGAUCAAAGAUUUAUCGCCUGAGGAUGAGCCCGCGUUGGAUUAGGUAGUUGGUGGGGUAAAGGCCUACCAAGCCGACGAUCCAUAGCUGGUCUGAGAGGAUGAUCAGCCACACUGGGACUGAGACACGGCCCAGACUCCUACGGGAGGCAGCAGUGGGGAAUAUUGGACAAUGGGCGCAAGCCUGAUCCAGCAAUGCCGCGUGAGUGAUGAAGGCCCUAGGGUUGUAAAGCUCUUUUACCCGGGAAGAUAAUGACUGUACCGGGAGAAUAAGCCCCGGCUAACUCCGUG